AGGAAAGUCAAAGGGAGCUGGGCCAUGCCGUGUAUAGAAAGUGGCAGAAGCGUUCAGACUACACACUGCUUGUUUUAGUGCCUCUGAAAGUAGAAGAAUGAGAUAAAGGAGAGGGAACAUGAUUUGGAAAAAACACUCCUCCAGCACUUCAAUGUUAUGAUUCUACACAUGACUUUUCUACAUUAAAAUUCUCCCCUACUCCUUGCUCCUACUCUAAAGGUGCCACCCUUUUCUUUGCCUGCCAGAAAGUAACUGCAGAAGUAAAUUUCAAAGAACUGAAAAAGAGUGAAAAAAAAAAGCAUCAUACAUAUUAAUAAGCCCGAAACAAUAUUCUACUAACAGUAUUCUACAAACAGACUACUAUUAUUCCUUUACAUCAAAAGAAAAUACGAAACAUGAGCCUGAGAAACUACAAAUGUGAAAGUGAAAAGUGCACAAAUGGUAUGUGACAGAAGAAAGUUUCUGAAAGAGCAAAAAGAAUAAAAAAGACACAAAGGUAGAAGCACAUCGCAAUGCUUGCAGACAUCUUGUACAGUCUGUGCAGUGAUGAAACUAUACUGGAAUUCCUGCCUAACAAAAGAUCACCAUCUUCAGGACUUCAGCACAAGGCAACUAAAAACCAGAUGAGGUCAUUCCUUUAUCUAUCUGCAAACCCUGUUAGUUUAGAAUCAAUAUGUGACAAAAGCACAGAAGCAUACAGUCUGAUCAGACUCUGCAUUCCUUUAUACCAUACCAUUGUACUGAAUCACGCUCAAAGAAACAUGUCUACAUUGGUUUCAGCCAUUAUUUUGGUAAACAAACAAACAAACAAACAAGAAAGGCAUAAUGAAGAGUUGACUACAAUAAUAACAAAUAAUAGUACUGAGCAAUAUAAACUCUCUCAUAUAAACUCUCACAUGUGCUGUAAAAAGAUAUAUUUACUCAGUUUUAGCAGAAUUAUCGCUUAUCCUCAUGUAUUUAUUUAACUUUCUCAAAUUAAACUUGGAAGAAUCAGGAUAAUACCAAAAUUCCUUUUUGUAAUAAUUUGGUUAUAAUCUGUAAGAGUGAAGGACCAGGACUGAUUUUGGAGACCACAUCUGUGAAGUCUUGAGUUUAGUCGCAAAAGAUCUAAAAAGCAUAUUGAAGGAUGAAAAUUCAGAGUACUUAUGUGUAUGAAUGAACCUUUCAAGUUCAAGACACUUUAAUUUUCAUGAAGACAUGCAUGAAAAAAUCAAACAAAAGCUAUGUUUUAGAAAUUCCAAAAUAAGUUGUAUCUUUAGUUAUCAAACUAAGUACUACUUCUGUACAGCUUUAAUAAUAGUGGGGAUGUAAUUAAUAAUCACAAUGAAGUGAUACCAAAAGAUACCAUUGUUAAACCACAGAAAGUCAUGUUUCAAUGAUAAGUGCAAUGUUUAAUAAAAGAGAUCCUCAGUUAUGUAUAAACUCAGAAAUCUUGCCGUUUUAAUGGAGAAAUACAGAAUACUACCUGCUGACUAUUAAAAGCAGUUCCCUAGGGCAAUCCAAAACUAAAUGUUUUUGUGCAACACUUCAUAGUCAGAACUUGACUGUACGUGAAAAUAGGCCUCAGGGCAGUAACACACUUCACCAAAUUUCCCUCAGUGAAUGCAGGCUGGAUUUGUUCUUUCUGACAUACAGAUAAAACAGAAUGAUUACUUCUCUAUUCAGAACAGAAGCAAUGUAUUGGUUUUGGUUUUUAAAGAUGCACUGAAGACACUGAGGUUGUUUUUUUAUAAAUGGUCACUUAAUGUCAGCAUUGGUAACCUUAUCUCAAAUGAUCUCUGUUUAGAGCUAACAAUAGAAAAGGAAAACUUGACAGAAGUAAUGUUUGUUGAGUGGUAUGCAAAGAAAUGCAGAUCUUUGUUGUUCUUCCCCAACAGUCAGCUACAAAAAUAAGUCUGAUGAAACUGCACUAGAUCCAGGAGCAUCAUACAUAUUAAUCAUACUGAAUCAAUAAGGACCUAAUCCUGCUUUCCUUUAAGUAAAUGGUAAAGCUUCUUGAUUUCAGUCAUAGCUCAGUGUUGGUUUCCUAAAUACAACAAAGUGAAAGGGCUUUGAAAAUGAAGAAGAAAUAUAGUGCAUGUCUCAUUCAAAAAACUAAGAAGUUAUUUACCAACAGUAUGCAUAAAUGAGCUUAUAAAAUGUCAACAAGACAGAAGGAGAACUGUAUAUCUGUGGCAAAAUACAUGAACAAAUUACACCUCUAUUAAAAUAAAGAGAUUUUGUGGGUGGG
ensembl:lncRNA